UCCAUCCUUCCCAGGAGACGGGCCACUGCAGUGCAGAGGAGCAGGUAUCAGGGCUGGAGCAGCAGCUGUCUCCCUCUUGGAAUCAUGGCGCAGGUGUGGAGAAGGAAAUCAGGAUACUUCUGGAACUCCGUCAUUGUUGACAGCUGAAAAGAAGACCAUUACAGAAAAGUAUCUUGAAUUAUCCCCUAGACCCAAGGAAGAAACUGCCACACCUAAGAGUACCAGUGGGCUUACUGACAUAACUUGGAGUUCCAGUGGAAAUGA